UUCGUGUUUGGCGAGCGGCGCGUCGCCCAUGUCGAAGAGACCGGCCUGCAUGGCGUUGGCGGCGGCCUGAUCGGCAACUUCCAUCGCCAUCGGUACGGAAGCGAGCAGUUGCGCGCGAUUCGCGUGCAUGGAA
rnacentral:tRNA from 1 species